GACGUAGGGGGCGAGCGUUGUCCGGAGUCACUGGGCGUAAAGGGCGCGUAGGCGGCCUUCUAAGUCAGACGUGAAAUCCCUCGGCUCAACCCGGGAACUGCGUCCGAUACUGGAAGGCUUGAAUCCGGGAGAGGGAUGUGGAAUUCCAGGUGUAGCGGUGAAAUGCGUAGAUAUCUGGAGGAACACCGGUGGCGAAGGCAGCCCCCUGGGCUAACACUGACGCUCAUGCACGAAAGCGUGGGGAGCAAACAGG
rnacentral:rRNA from 1 species